CAGGGAGACAACACAAUGAUUUUGAUGCCUGAGUGCUUUUAUUCUUAGGCCGAAGUCCUGUCACCUUAGGUCGAUCGGUACCUCAGCUUUGAAGUCAAGGGUCAGCAGCAAUGUUGAUUGCUUGAUGGAGAUUUUCAGUUCCUAAACUUUGUCUAGGUCACACCCCAAAAGGGAUGAGACUCCUGGGCCAUUAGCUCAGGUGGUUAGAGCGCACCCCUGAUAAGGGUGAGGUCCCUGGUUCAAGUCCAGGAUGGCCCAUUCGGUGUUGGGGGUUUAGCUCAGUUGGUAGAGCGCCUGCUUUGCAAGCAGGAUGUCAGGAGUUCGAGUCUCCUAACCUCCACUGACCGAACUUGAUUCCCAUCUCCAAUUUUUUUGGAGUUGAGCUCGAUUGGAGCGUGAUUUAGAUGUGUCCGCUGGAUGACCCCAGCUUCCUGUCAUUCCAAGUUUUAGAUUUUAAGUCUUGAAUUUGGUUGAUAAGAUGCUGGGCUCGGAUCAAAUGAUCAAGCAAUUGAUGAUUUGAUUUGAAGUUCUAGCAGAACCUUGACAACUGCAUAGGUGAGUCUGGAAAAAACAAAGCAUCUUACAGAUGCAUUGUUUUGAAUCUGAUCUUCUGAAAGGGAGAUUGGAUCUAGAACAAUGAAAAUUCUUUUGAGCAAGAGCCGAAACUCUUGAGCGUUCUUUGGUUGGUGUCGAGCCAAUCAGAGUUUGAUCUUGUUUUUAGCAAUAAAAACUUGAGAAUCUGCUUUCAACGGCGGUAAGCGUUCAGGAGGUUAAUU
rnacentral:tRNA from 1 species